UACAGAGGUGGCAAGCGUUUGUUCGGAAUUACUGGGCGUAAAGGGCGCGUAGGCGGCCUUCUAAGUCAGACGUGAAAUCCCCCCGGCUUAACCUGGGAACUGCGUCUGAUACUGGAUGGCUUGAGUUUGGGAGAGGGAUGCGGAAUUCCAGGUGUAGCGGUGAAAUGCGUAGAUAUGCGGAGGAACACCGAUGGCGAAGGCAAUCCCCUGGGCCUGCACUGACGCUCAUGCACGAAAGCGUGGGGAGCAAACAGG
rnacentral:rRNA from 1 species